GGUUAAGCGACUAAGCGUACACGGUGGAUGCCCUGGCAGUCAGAGGCGAUGAAGGACGUGCUAAUCUGCGAAAAGCGUCGGUAAGGUGAUAUGAACCGUUAUAACCGGCGAUGUCCGAAUGGGGAAACCCAGUGCAAUUCGUUGCACUAUCGUUAACUGAAUACAUAGGUUAACGAGGCGAACCGGGGGAACUGAAACAUCUAAGUACCCCGAGGAAAAGAAAUCAACCGAGAUUCCCCCAGUAGCGGCGAGCGAACGGGGAGCAGCCCAGAGUCUGAAUCAGCUUGUGUGUUAGUGGAACGGUCUGGAAAGUCCGACGGUACAGGGUGAUAGUCCCGUACACCAAAAUGCACAGGCUGUGAACUCGAAGAGUAGGGCGGGACACGUGGUAUCCUGUCUGAAUAUGGGGGGACCAUCCUCCAAGGCUAAAUACUCCUGACUGACCGAUAGUGAACCAGUACCGUGAGGGAAAGGCGAAAAGACCCGGCGAGGGGAGUGAAAAAGAACCUGAAACCGUGUACGUACAAGCAGUGGGAGCACCUUCGGGUGUGACUGCGUACCUUUUGUAUAAUGGGUCAGCGACUUAUAUUCUGUAGCAAGGUUAACCGUAUAGGGGAGCCGCAGGGAAACCGAGUCUUAACUGGGCGUUAAGUUGCAGGGUAUAGACCCGAAACCCGGUGAUCUAGCCAUGGGCAGGUUGAAGGUUGGGUAACACUAACUGGAGGACCGAACCGACUAAUGUUGAAAAAUUAGCGGAUGACUUGUGGCUGGGGGUGAAAGGCCAAUCAAACCGGGAGAUAGCUGGUUCUCCCCGAAAGCUAUUUAGGUAGCGCCUCGUGAACUCAUCUUCGGGGGUAGAGCACUGUUUCGGCUAGGGGGUCAUCCCGACUUACCAACCCGAUGCAAACUACGAAUACCGAAGAAUGUUAUCACGGGAGACACACGGCGGGUGCUAACGUCCGUCGUGAAGAGGGAAAAACCCAGACCGCCAGCUAAGGUCCCAAAGUCAUGGUUAAGUGGGAAACGAUGUGGGAAGGCACAGACAGCCAGGAUGUUGGCUUAGAAGCAGCCAUCAUUUAAAGAAAGCGUAAUAGCUCACUGGUCGAGUCGGCCUGCGCGGAAGAUGUAACGGGGCUAAACCAUGCACCGAAGCUGCGGCAGCGACACUAUGUGUUGUUGGGUAGGGGAGCGUUCUGUAAGCCUGCGAAGGUGUGCUGUGAGGCAUGCUGGAGGUAUCAGAAGUGCGAAUGCUGACAUAAGUAACGAUAAAGCGGGUGAAAAGCCCGCUCGCCGGAAGACCAAGGGUUCCUGUCCAACGUUAAUCGGGGCAGGGUGAGUCGACCCCUAAGGCGAGGCCGAAAGGCGUAGUCGAUGGGAAACAGGUUAAUAUUCCUGUACUUGGUGUUACUGCGAAGGGGGGACGGAGAAGGCUAUGUUAGCCGGGCGACGGUUGUCCCGGUUUAAGCAUGUAGGCUGAUUGUCCAGGCAAAUCCGGAUAAUCAAGGCUGAGGUGUGAUGACGAGGCACUACGGUGCUGAAGUAACAAAUGCCCUGCUUCCAGGAAAAGCCUCUAAGCAUCAGGUAACAUCAAAUCGUACCCCAAACCGACACAGGUGGUCAGGUAGAGAAUACCAAGGCGCUUGAGAGAACUCGGGUGAAGGAACUAGGCAAAAUGGUGCCGUAACUUCGGGAGAAGGCACGCUGGUGUGUAGGUGAAGUCCCUGCGGAUGGAGCUGAGACCAGUCGAAGAUACCAGCUGGCUGCAACUGUUUAUUAAAAACACAGCACUGUGCAAACACGAAAGUGGACGUAUACGGUGUGACGCCUGCCCGGUGCCGGAAGGUUAAUUGAUGGGGUUAUCCGUAAGGAGAAGCUCUUGAUCGAAGCCCCGGUAAACGGCGGCCGUAACUAUAACGGUCCUAAGGUAGCGAAAUUCCUUGUCGGGUAAGUUCCGACCUGCACGAAUGGCGUAAUGAUGAUGGCCAGGCUGUCUCCACCCGAGACUCAGUGAAAUUGAACUCGCUGUGAAGAUGCAGUGUACCCGCGGCAAGACGGAAAGACCCCGUGAACCUUUACUAUAGCUUGACACUGAACAUUGAGCCUUGAUGUGUAGGAUAGGUGGGAGGCUUUGAAGCGUGGACGCCAGUCUGCGUGGAGCCAACCUUGAAAUACCACCCUUUAAUGUUUGAUGUUCUAACGUUGGCCCCUGACCGGGGUUGCGGACAGUGUCUGGUGGGUAGUUUGACUGGGGCGGUCUCCUCCCAAAGCGUAACGGAGGAGCACGAAGGUUAGCUAAUCCUGGUCGGACAUCAGGAGGUUAGUGCAAUGGCAUAAGCUAGCUUGACUGCGAGCGUGACGGCGCGAGCAGGUGCGAAAGCAGGUCAUAGUGAUCCGGUGGUUCUGAAUGGAAGGGCCAUCGCUCAACGGAUAAAAGGUACUCCGGGGAUAACAGGCUGAUACCGCCCAAGAGUUCAUAUCGACGGCGGUGUUUGGCACCUCGAUGUCGGCUCAUCACAUCCUGGGGCUGAAGUAGGUCCCAAGGGUAUGGCUGUUCGCCAUUUAAAGUGGUACGCGAGCUGGGUUUAGAACGUCGUGAGACAGUUCGGUCCCUAUCUGCCGUGGGCGCUGGAGAAUUGAGGGGGGCUGCUCCUAGUACGAGAGGACCGGAGUGGACGCAUCACUGGUGUUCGGGUUGUCAUGCCAAUGGCACUGCCCGGUAGCUAAAUGCGGAAGAGAUAAGUGCUGAAAGCAUCUAAGCACGAAACUUGCCCCGAGAUGAGUUCUCCCUGAGACUUUAAGUCUCCUGAAGGAACGUUAAAGACGAUGACGUUGAUAGGCCGGGUGUGUAAGCGCAGCGAUGCGUUGAGCUAACCGGUACUAAUGAACCGUGAGGCUUAACCUU
rnacentral:rRNA from 1 species